rnacentral:rRNA from 1 species
UGUUAUGGCCAGGCCACCCUGAACAUGCCCUAUCCCCUCUGAUCUUGGAAGCUAAGCAGGGUCAGGCCUGGUGAGUACUUGGAUGGGAGACCACUGAGGAAGACCAAGUGCUGUAGGCA